AUGGACGAAAGUCUGAUGGAGCAACGCCGCGUGAGUGAAGAAGGGUUUCGGCUCGUAAAACUCUGUUGUUAAAGAAGAACAUAUCUGGGAGUAACUGUUCAGGUAUUGACGGUAUUUAACCAGAAAGCCACGGCUAACUACGUGCCAGCAGCCGCGGUAAUACGUAGGUGGCAAGCGUUGUCCGGAUUUAUUGGGCGUAAAGCGAGCGCAGGCGGUUUUUUAAGUCUGAUGUGAAAGCCUUCGGCUUAACCGAAGAAGUGCAUCGGAAACUGGGAAACUUGAGUGCAGAAGAGGACAGUGGAACUCCAUGUGUAGCGGUGAAAUGCGUAGGUAUAUGGAAGAACACCAGUGGCGAAGGCGGCUGUCUGGUCUGUAACUGACGCUGAGGCUCGAAAGUAUGGGUAGCAAACAGGAUUAGAUACCCUGGUAGUCCAUACCGUAAACGAUGAAUGCUAAGUGUUGGAGGGUUUCCGCCCUUCAGUGCUGCAGCUAACGCAUUAAGCAUUCCGCCUGGGGAGUACGGCCGCAAGGCUGAAACUCAAAGGAAUUGACGGGGGCCCGCACAAGCGGUGGAGCAUGUGGUUUAAUUCGAAGCUACGC
rnacentral:rRNA from 2 species